rnacentral:rRNA from 1 species
GUGGGGAAUCUUGCGCAAUGGGCGAAAGCCUGACGCAGCCAUGCCGCGUGAAUGAUGAAGGUCUUAGGAUUGUAAAAUUCUUUCACCGGGGACGAUAAUGACGGUACCCGGAGAAGAAGCUCCGGCUAACUUCGUGCCAGCAGCCGCGGUAAUACGAAGGGGGCUAGCGUUGCUCGGAAUUACUGGGCGUAAAGGGCGCGUAGGCGGACAGCUUAGUCAGAGGUUAAAGCCCAGGGCUCAACCUUGGAAUUGCCUUUGAUACUGGCUGUCUUGAGUUUGGGAGAGGUGAGUGGAACUCCGAGUGUAGAGGUGAAAUUCGUAGAUAUUCGGAAGAACACCAGUGGCGAAGGCGACUCACUGGCCCAAUACUGACGCUGAGGCGCGAAAGCGUGGGGAGCAAACAGGAUUAGAAACCCCUGUAGUCC